CGCUCCCACCUGUCUCUUCUGGUUACGUUCGUCCGGGGCCGCGACGCCGCUAUGGGAGGCCCGGCUUUCUCUCGCUGGCUCAGCCGCAAGUCCCCGUCCAUCCUUGUCAGCUGCGUGGAAGAGAAGCACGAUGAACUUGCAGAUAGUCUUCCUUGUGCAGAAGGAGAGUUUAUCUUCCUUCGUCUUAAUGUUUUUCGUGAGGUAUGGAGCAAUAAUCACUAGAAUCAGCCCUCUAAAACAGAGUGCCGUUUCAUAGCUUUAAUGGCAGCAUUCCUUUUUGGUUGUAGUAUUUGGAAAGAGAGCUCACCAUGGCCAGCCUACCGCUCACAUUUGAUGUCGAGAGGAGCACUGAUGACUGGGUCUUCAUGUGCUUCUUUGUGGGAAAUGACUUCCUUCCUCACCUGCCGUCGUUAGAGAUUCGGGUUACCUUACAGAAAGUGGUUAUGUCAAUCUGCAAAGAGUACAGAUGAUCAUGUUAGCAGUUGGUGAAGUUGAGGAUAGCAUUUUUAAAAAGAGAAAGGAUGAUGAGGACAGUUUUAGAAGACGACAGAAAGAAAAGAGAAAGAGAAUGAAGAAAUUCACCAGGUUCUCAAGUAGCCAGUAAUCCGAGACAAGCAGCCUAUGAAAUGAGGAUGCAGAAUAAUUCUAGUCCUUCAGUAUCUCCUAAUACGAGUUUCACUUCUGAUGGCCC